UCUCCGUAGGUGAACCUGCGGAGGGAUCAUUACAGAGUUCAUGCCCUACCGGGUAGAUCUCCCACCCUAUGUUGUUAUUACUUUUUUGCUUUGGCGGUCCGGUAGGCUCUGGCCCUACUACCUGCCCCGGAUGGUAAGCGCCCUCCAUAGGACCCAAAACCCUGAAUAUUAGUGUCGUCUGAGUACUAUAUAAUAGUUAAAACUUUCAACAACGGAUCUCUUGGUUCUG
rnacentral:misc_RNA from 1 species